rnacentral:lncRNA from 1 species
GGUAGCCCUGCCGGGGUGUGCGGAGGGCCGGGCCCCGGCGCCCUGCCCGCGGCCAACGCCUACGCCAGCAUCGACUUCUUGACGCAUCACCUGAAAGAGGCCACGGUGGUGAAAGAGUGAAGACCUGUCCGGCUCCAUCCCUGUGACUACAGACAUCACAGAAAACCAUGGGAAGAAGACGCUCAGCAUUUUUUUUUUAAACACAUCGGAAGCUGCUUGCCAUUUCCUUUUGGAUCUGAGCGAUCGUCGCGUGUAGACGCGCCUGUGACCCAGUUAGACGUGGACGCGCCCGUCUCCCCCGGUCUCCGGGGGUAGGGGGUGCAGUCAUCCUCCUCGCGCUGUUUGUGUUUUGGUUUUCAACAACAUGAGCGGAAGGAGUGACUCACGAGAAGGUCGAACAAUCUUGGUCGCGGCCAGUGUCUUUGUUCUCCUCGCCCUCGUUUGACGCAGCAGAUGUAUCCCGCAGCAUGCUCGGAGAUUCUCCCAGCUCGCGUUCAAGUGGUAAAAUCUGGUGUUUACGGACGUCCGCUCAAAACUACCACCGUCCUACCUCAGUCCCAGCCCCGGACACAGCUGCUCAUCGAAGUCCAGCCCAGGGACCUACGUGUUUACUCGCACACAGAGCCCCGCGUGGGACUGACGUCUCUCCACGGAGGUGCAACUAGAGACUGGACUCUGAAGAUGGAUGGAUGAAUAAUAAUUAUUAUAUGUAACGGAAGCAAGCUACUCUUGCAAAUCAUCAACUGUACGGGGUGGGAGAUGGUGGGAGGGCAGGGUCUGGGAAGGCCGGGUGGGGAUGGGGUGAGUAUCUCUUUUUACCUUUAAGAGACUUGUUCCAGCUUCUCUUUGUAGGUGUUUAUGUAGGCACUUCAGACUGCAGCCACCUUUGAUCCUAUCGACAAGCUCAAACGUCUCUGCCGUCCUUAACCUUGAGCUUGCGUUUCUCUAACCAAAAAUUCACGUAGGCAUGGAGCCCUUCCAAGACGGGGGGUCAAGGGUUUGGCAGGUCUCCUCUAAAAUGUAUUGUCUUGAUGACACUCUCGUGUCGGGCCACGAGGCUUUCCCAAACAACGACAACAAAGACACAGAAAGACAGAAAAGGAAAAGGAGCUGAGAAAGAAGGCAUCCUGGGACACAGAGGAAGAAAGUGAUCUCACAGUGCAUGUCACUUGUCAGAGGAGUUCCCAACAAGCGACCCCUCUUCUGUGUGUCUUCAGUGUUCUGGGAAUAUCAGUGUUGUGGUGAUCGCUGAGGGUGUCCCCAAGAACUGCCGCCCUUGAGCUGCAGAGCGUCAGGUCGCCUCCUCGCUCCUUGACGCGCGGGGCAGGGAGCUGCAGGCGCCCUCCACUCCCACGGGCUCAUCCUCAGUGCCUCUUCUCUGAGAGUCCUGUAGACGUUACAUGAAUUUGUUGGAGAUAAUGAGUUGGGGUGUGUUUUUUUUGGGGGGGUGGUAGGGGGAGAAAAAAUAUAUAUAAAUAUAUAGAUAUAUAUCAGUAUAGAAUAAUGCAUUCAUAAAAUGAGGCUUUUCUAGAGGAAGACCAAAAAGAUUCAAUGUCUUAAAUCUAUAUUUAAUCGCAAUGCAAACGUCUUUCUCCUUCCACGCUGACCUUUCAGAACAGAGGAUUGUAUCGCAAGACAAAGUUGAAUGUAAAGUGACCGCCCUGAACAUUGCUCAAGUUUCACGCUUCUGGAAUCACACAGCACAACCGUGCACAGACCAUCUGAUGUUGGUUUGAAGGUCGUUUUCAGUGUGUAAUGUAGAGAGACUUCAUGAAAAAGAUGUAUAAAGUGUCCUAAAGUUUUGGUUUAGUUCUGGGACUCGGGAUAGAUGGAGUUGCUAUGGAAACCGCCCCUCCCGCAGGACGGGUCGUGGACCCUGCCGGAUGCAGCGUCAGAAUCCCCUUCCCUCGCGUGGUCCUGCCACCCUCCCUGUGGUCAUGUUCCUCCUGCCGCUUCAAACAAGCGACAUAAAAAAGUUGAUAAUAUACUAAAUUUUCUUCUAUCCUGUACAUUUCAAAAAAAUUAAAAAAAAAAAGGCAUAUGCAAUAUUUACAUUUUUAAUUUAGUUUACAGAAUGGAACCAAAAUGUAUAAAUGUUAUGUUUGUUAAAACUUCACAAUGUAUAUUGGGUCUUUGUACAUUUUGCCUGACUUACCUUAAAUUUAAAAUAUUUUUUGCUAUAUAAACUUUAACAGUUAUGACAGUGUUUUCUUUUAGGGGGUACGUAUUGUUUCUGGAGAUCAAGAUGUUAAAUAUAUUUCUUGCUAUCGUGAAAUGACGAAAGACUGCCUUCUGCUGUCUUCCACCGUCUCCGCUGUACAUAAGGACCGACAUGGCACUGCUGGAAACCAGACUCCACGGAACUAGACUAGUGCAUUGUAUUUAGUCUGUAUUGAUCAUGGAUGCUCUCCUUAAUAGCCAUAUGCAAUACAAUAAAUGCAUUAUUUAUGAAAUGAAGACCA